GCUGGGCAUGGUGGCGCGUGCCUGUAAUCCCAGCUACUGGGGGGGCUGAGGCAGGAGGAUCGCUUGAACCCAGGAGGUGGAGGUUGCAGUGAGCUGAGAUUGUACCACUGCACUCCAGCCUGGGCAACAGAGCGAGAGUCUGUCUCAA
rnacentral:sRNA from 1 species